AAUGAAAUGCCUGAAUAAAAGGUCUAUUUUGAUAGAAUAGCUCAUGCAAUCAACUUGCUUUCAUUA
rnacentral:tRNA from 1 species